UGCAAAACUUUAAUAAUAUGAGGGUAGAAU
rnacentral:piRNA from 1 species